rnacentral:hammerhead_ribozyme from 1 species
ACACUACUAACGAGUCCCAUAAUAGGACGAAACGGUCGUCUAGUAC